ACGGGGUGCAGCAGGCGCGAAAACUUGGCAAUGCGAGAAAUCGUGACCAGGGAACUCCAAGUGCAUGGGGUAAGACCCAUGCUUUUCUUGACUCUAAAUAGGUCUUGGAAUAAGGGGUGGGUAAGGACGGUGCCAGCCGCCGCGGUAAUACCGGCGCCUCAAGUGGUAGUCGCUUUUAUUGGGCCUAAAACGUCCGUAGCCGGUCUGAUACAUUCGUGGGUAAAUCAACCAGCUUAACUGGUUGAAUUCUGCGAGGACGGCCAGACUUGGGACCGGGAGAGGUGUGGGGUACGCUCAGGGUAGGGGUAGAAUCCUGUCAUCCUGAGCGGACCACCUGUUGCGAAGGCGCCACACUAGAACGGAUCCGACGGUCAGGGACGAAGCCUAGGGGCACGAACCGGAUUAGAUACCCGGGUAGUCCUAGGUGUAAACGCUGUGGACUUGAUGUUGGGGGUGCUCCGAGCACUCUCAGUGUCGAAGCGAAGGUGACAAGUCCACUGCCUGGGAAGUACGGUCGCAAGGCUGAAACUUAAAGGAAUUGGCGGGG
rnacentral:rRNA from 1 species